rnacentral:rRNA from 1 species
AAUCAGUGCUAGGGUUCGGCUCUCCUCACCUGUCCCUCUCUCGCGCACAUCUCUCCCCCUCGCUCGAGCCGUCGUCGCCUGCCAUCCUCUCCGUCCGCCGCCGCCGCCGCCAUCCUUCCCAUCCGCCGCGUCGCCACCAUCCUCCGCGUCCGCCACCGCCAUCCUCCCCGUCCGCCACCGCCGCCCCCAUCCUCCCUGUCCGCCGCCGCCAUGCCAUCGCCGCCACCUACCGGACGGCGCCGUGAAGGAAGCGACCAGAGAGGGAGGCGUCGCCGGUGUCAUGGACCCAUGCCGGCGCAACGGCGUUGCGCGUGCCUCCGCGGGUUCGCGCAGCGGUCGCCGGAGGCGUCGCGGGUCAAGGGGAGGAUGGGCGUGCGCCAUGCCGCUCUUCCCGACACAACGUCCGCCGUUCUUCCUUGGUCGGGCAGUGGUCAAGUGCUUCUUCAAGCUGGGCCGCACGCUGGGAGAGGAGCCCCAGGCCGCAUGCUUCUUCUUGCGCUCCAUCGGGAGAGACCUCGAGGAUGCCAAGAUCUGCAAUGGCCUGAAGAACGAGGCAAUUCUUGGAAGCAACACGUACAUGUGGUCUCUCUUUCACUAUGAUUCCAAGAUCUAACCCGAUUGAAUCAUUAACUGAUGGAGGAUUUGGAUGCCCCACACACUGUUCCGAUAUAACACCAGAACUUUAGCUUUCUCGGGAAUGUGACGAUGACUUCCAUGAAAAAAUUCAUCGAAGUGACUGUCGAUGACCUACAGGAGCGUAGCAGACUCGAUGUGGCAACCGGGUCGCUCCUGAAUGCGGUGAAGUAGUGCCACCUGGCCGGUGAAGUGGCCGACAGCAGGAAUUCCGCCGUCGACAUCGUCGAGAUUCACUUCAAGGGCCUGGAAGAUGCUCAACAAUCAGAUCGUCGUCUCGUCCUCUCCAAGAGAAGGGGCCAACUCAAGCAGGAACGCUAUUGUUGCUUUCGAAAUGCUAUUGGAUCUUAUAAAAAAAUUUGGACCUGUUAUUCAUUCAACAUUGUCAGUUAGCUCACUCGUUGGAGUAGAACUUCAAGCCGAACAGAGGUAUGCUCUCCAACUUUACUCGGGGAAGGGAACUGGGUGUUGCUAAGAGAGAUGUUUUAAAAACUUGUGUUGCUACAAGCCACUAAGGAACUCGGUCUGAGGUGGCGAGUUGGUCGCGAACUUAUGUUUUGCUUAUACUGGUCCUGUCCCUGAUAAGGGUGUGUGUAUCGAGUGUUUGCCAAUUUAGUUCUGGCAUGUUGAGUCCAUGGACAAGUAUGGAUUAUUCUCUAUAGCUUUAGCCAAUUUAGGAGACAAGCGCUGUUUUCCUGCACAUUUGCAUAUAUUCAACGACUCCGAUCUUACAAAAUGUUAGGUCUCCUUAGUUCCAAAUAUGGUUUUACAGGUUCUAAAAUUAUUUCUUUGAUGCGAGGUGCCAUGCUGUGGAUAACAAGGAGAUUAUCAAGGCGGAGCGGCGGUGAGUAUGGAGCUCAUAAUCAUCAGUUCAUCACCAUGAAGCAGAAGGAAUGGUAUAGCUUUGCCAUGCUGGACUUUGGCAGCCGCUGCUCCUCGGCAAUCAACAGGAGCUACAGCCGCUGCCACCACUCCUUCGCAGCGACGCAGGCCAGCGACGAGGAGGCUCGCAAUGGUGGGGGACACAUCACCAUCUGCCGGAGAGGAGAAAGGCAUACCUACCCCUUAACGAUUGAAAUGCAGGUCCAGGGAAAACAUCUGGUCCUCACAUCACAACACCCGAGCAAGUCUGGCUUGCUCGCCAUGGCCUACCACAUCGGCGAGACGGAUCGAGCACGUGAUCACCAUCAGCAGGUCUUUCGUCACAACACCCAAGCGAGCGAGAUGUUCAGACAAAGUUAUAUGAUACACUGCUAUUGACAUAUGUCGUAGAUGGACAGUACAUAUCGUUUCUCUCCAUGUUACAAUUUCUGUGACCUCGGCAUUUGGAAGACAUGUCAUCCGAAUCGUCUAUCAUGACCGAACCAUUACUAUCACAAGCAUCUUACUUUUAGAAAUCCAUAUGAUGGUUCAGUUAUCUAUAUUAUGUGUGCCAUUUGUUACCUCUGAAAUAUAUAUUAUGUGUGCCCUGUCACGUUGGUUUAUUUUUGGUGCCAAAAUGCUGCUGAGCAUUUGGUGUGACUGAUUGCACUGCCCAUUUAGUGUUGUCUGGGCAUAUGCCAUGUAUUGGACACAACCAUGUUAUCUAUAAAGGCAAUUUUUCACUUCUAUGCAUUAAACUGAUC